rnacentral:rRNA from 1 species
UACAGAGGUCUCAAGCGUUGUUCGGAUUCAUUGGGCGUAAAGGGUGCGUAGGUGGUGCUGUAAGUCAGGUGUGAAAUCUCGGGGCUCAACCCCGAAACUGCACUUGAUACUGCAGUGCUCGAGGACUGGAGAGGAGAUUGGAAUUCAUGGUGUAGCAGUGAAAUGCGUAGAUAUCAUGAGGAAGACCAGUGGCGAAGGCGGAUCUCUGGACAGUUCCUGACACUGAGGCACGAAGGCCAGGGAGCAAACGGG